ensembl:lncRNA
UAAUGAUCAACCCAAAGGUUGCAGGUUUGAGUCUCAGGUCGGGCAGGAAUUGUCAGUGGAGGGAGUGAAUAACACUCAAUACCACGACUGAGAUGAGACCCUUGAGCAAGGCACCGAACCCCCAACUGCUCCCCGGGUGCUGCAGCAAUAUGGCUGCCCACUGCUCCAGGGGUGUGUUCACUGCUGUGUGUGCGCACUUGGAUGGGUUAAAUGCAGAGCACAAAUUCCGAGUAUGGGUCACAAUACUUGGCCACAUGUAACUUCACUUCAUUUAAAUCAUCUUGAGGCCCCAUGAACGUUUGCCGGACCUCUGGUUGAGAGUCACUUCUUUAUUCUUUACUCUAGACAUGCACACCCCAUGCACAGUCCAUAUAUGCAAGACAUUAUGUACACAAUUUACAAUCCUGCAGUUUCUCCCAAGACACUCUUGACUCAGCUCUUAUCCUUUAUAUAAUUCAUAACCGGUUUAAAAAUACCCCGCUCUCAAGCGCAUGCAGGGGUGUUUUCUGGAAUAUGGGCUGGUGGAAGGAGUGUAUUCUGCUCGGGACCGAGCCAACCUGGUUUUCUCCUUGUUUAGCCGCCGCCUCCCCUCAUGACAUCAACACUGCGGAGAGCCGCCGCGCGCUCAGACUCUGCUGCAGAACGGCACGCCAGUGCGCAAAGGCUAUUGAGAUCAUAAUUGGUGUGUUUACUGUCAUUCUGAGCACAAUUGUGUAUAAGCUGCACUACCAUAUCCAGCGUGAAAUCAUCAUCCUCAUCAUCAACGGUGCUCAGCUUGUCAUAACUGGUGUUGUCCUGGUGCACACUGGGAGGAAACCAUCUAAAUGUCUGGUGCUGACAACAUUUGUUCUGCAGUUACUAACAGCAGCAUUUGAUAUUGUUGGAUUUGGGCUGAUGGCCAGACACAUCCCAUUCAGAGGAGACUCGUACUACUACAGGGACACAGAGUUCUUAGUGAAUGGGAUCUUGGUGACACUGAUCGGUUUCCUGAUGCUAGCAUGUGCCAUUGGUUUGGUUGUUUCUCUUUUUGGGGUCUACGCCCUUUCUGUUAGUGCCAUAAAGGAGCUGACUCCUAUCCCUCACUCUACACCAAACCAACAUUAUGUUGAUGGCGUUCAGACCCAGAAAAUGAUCCAUGCCGGAAACUGACAAAAUAAGAGGCAGAAGGGCACAGUUUUAGCACAGUUUUUCACCAACUGCAAAAGAGGACUGUUUCACCUACAAACCACUCACAGGUAACC